GAUGAACGCUGGCGGCGUGCCUAAUACAUGCAAGUCGAGCGAACAGACGAGGAGCUUGCUCCUCUGACGUUAGCGGCGGACGGGUGAGUAACACGUGGAUAACCUACCUAUAAGACUGGGAUAACUUCGGGAAACCGGAGCUAAUACCGGAUAAUAUAUUGAACCGCAUGGUUCAAUAGUGAAAGACGGUUUUGCUGUCACUUAUAGAUGGAUCCGCGCCGCAUUAGCUAGUUGGUAAGGUAACGGCUUACCAAGGCAACGAUGCGUAGCCGACCUGAGAGGGUGAUCGGCCACACUGGAACGGAGACACGGUCCAGGCUCCUACGGUAGGCAGCAGUAGGGAAUCUUCCGCAAUGGGCGAAAGCCUGACGGAGCAACGCCGCGUGAGUGAUGAAGGUCUUCGGAUCGUAAAACUCUGUUAUUAGGGAAGAACAAAUGUGUAAGUAACUAUGCACGUCUUGACGGUACCUAAUCAGAAAGCCACGGCUAACUACGUG
rnacentral:rRNA from 1 species